rnacentral:rRNA from 1 species
CAAUAGUGUAUAUUAAAGUUGUUGCAGUUAGAACGCUCGUAGUCGGAUUUCGGGGCGUUCCGACCGGUCUGCCGAUGGGUAUGCACUGGCCGGAGUGUCCUUUUUGCCGGAGACCGUGCCUACUCUUAACUGAGCGGGGGCGGGAGACGGCACUUUUACUUUGAAAAAAUCAGAGUGUUUCAAGCAGGCAGCUCGCUCUUGCAUGGAUUAGCAUGGGAUAAUGAAAUAGGACUUUGGUGCUAUUUUGUUGGUUUCGAACACCGAAGUAAUGAUGAGAAGGGACAGUCAGGGGCACUCGUAUUCCGCAGAGAGAGGUGAAAUUCUCAGACCCGCGGAAGACGAACCACUGCGAAAGCAUUUGCCAGGGAUGUUUNCACUGA